UACGGGGGGGGGCAAGCGUUGUUCGGAAUUACUGGGCGUAAAGGGCUCGUAGGUGGCCAACUAAGUCAGACGUGAAAUCCCUCAGCUUAACUGGGGAACUGCGUCUGAUACUGGAUGGCUUGAGUUUGGGAGAGGGAUGCGGAAUUCCAGGUGUAGCGGUGAAAUGCGUAGAUAUCAGGAGGAACACCGAUGGCGAAGGCAGGUCACUGGGCCGCAACUGACGCUGAGGCGACGGAAAGCCAGGGGAGCAAACGGG
rnacentral:rRNA from 1 species